CAAUAGCGUAUAUUUAAGUUGUUGCAGUUAAAAAGCUCGUAGUUGGAUUUCGGAUGGGACUUGCCGGUCCGUCGUUUCGAUGUGCACUGGCCAGUCCUAUCUUGUUGUCGGGGACUAGCUCCUGGGCUUCACUGUCCGGGACUAGGAGCUGACGAGGUUACUUUGAGUAAAUUAGAGUGUUCAAAGCAAGCCUACGCUCUGAAUACAUUAGCAUGGAAUAACACGAUAGGACUCUGGCUUAUCUUGUUGGUCUGUGAGACCAGAGUAAUGAUUAAGAGGGACAGUCGGGGGCAUUCGUAUUUCAUUGUCAGAGGUGAAAUUCUUGGAUUUAUGAAAGACGAACUUCUGCGAAAGCAUUUGUCAAGGAUGUUUGCAUUAA
rnacentral:rRNA from 1 species